rnacentral:rRNA from 1 species
UAGCGAGGAGCUUGAACCCGAUCCCAUCCCGAACUCGGCCGUUAAACUCCUCAGCGCCAAUGGUACUAUGGCUUAAGCCCUGGGAGAGUAGGUCGCUGCCAGGC